AUGACGACCGGAACGCGCUCAGAGGCUGCUCUGCCACCAGCUCUGCUCUAGGGAAGGACGGAAAGACGCUUUUCUUGGCACAAAGUCGGAGCUUAGGACCAGCUCCUUCAGCCGGCUCUGGAGUCUAACCCAACCGGCAACAUUACCAGUAUUGUCCAAAGGAAACUCCCAAUUCUUCAAACUUCAAAUGACAGUCCAAAGAUCCUCUAGUUAACUCAAUCUGGACUGUAGGAGGAAUUCUGACAACCAGACAAAAGAUGUAAACUUGUGAAGCUCUAGUUCCUGUCUAGGAAAAAGAGUCAUUUCCCUUGCCUCCAGCAAAAGUGACUUAUGGCUCUCCAAUUAACAUAUCAGCAUAACAAGGUUCAGGUCAGCCUCCAGCCUCCCUCAGUCCCCACAAGCACUUACACUUUUCAAAGCCUCCUCACCCGUCACCUGGCCCUUCCCACCCACCAAUUGCUCAAUCCUUGUAACCAAUCUGUGUUCACUCUUCUCCUUCCUGCUGCUGCAUUUCUCAAUAAGCUUCCCCUAUUUUCUAUCAGUGGCCAUUUUCCCGUUUCUUGUAGAGAGUCCUGGCAAAGCCCAAUCUGCUGCCAUGGUCUCUCUCUGCCCUGGACUCUUCCAGAUCCCUGUGGCU
ensembl:lincRNA